GCUGGGUAUGGUGGUGGGCACCUAUAGUCCCAGCUACUCAGGAGGCUGUGGGGUGGGAGGAUUGGUUGAGCCCAGGAGUUCUGGCCUGUAGUGUGCAAUGCCAAUCAGGUAUCAGUACUAAGUUUAGCAUCAAUAUGGUGACCUUAUAGGAGCAGAGGCCACCAGUUUGCCUAAGGAAGGGUGAACCAGCCUAGGUUGGAAACCAAAGGUCAGAACUUGUAUUCUCAUCACUAGUGGGAUCAUACCUGUGAAUGAAUAGCUGCUGCAUUCAGCCUGGACAACAAAGUGAGAUGUUUUCUCU
ensembl:misc_RNA Metazoa_SRP Metazoan signal recognition particle RNA